GACAACUUGGCCGAGUGGUUAAGGCGACAGACUUGAAUAACCACGUUCUUGCUAUCUGUUGGGUUCGCCCUCACAAGUUCGAAUCUUGUAGUUGUCG
rnacentral:tRNA from 1 species